rnacentral:rRNA from 1 species
GCCAGACUCCUACGGGAGGCAGCAGUGAGGAAUAUUGGUCAAUGGACGAGAGUCUGAACCAGCCAAGUAGCGUGAAGGAUGACUGCCCUAUGGGUUGUAAACUUCUUUUAUAUGGGAAUAAAAUGUUCCACGUGUGGGAUUUUGUAUGUACCAUAUGAAUAAGGAUCGGCUAACUCCGUGCCAGCAGCCGCGGUAAUACGGAGGAUCCGAGCGUUAUCCGGAUUUAUUGGGUUUAAAGGGAGCGUAGGUGGAUUGUUAAGUCAGUUGUGAAAGUUUGCGGCUCAACCGUAAAAUUGCAGUUGAAACUGGCAGUCUUGAGUACAGUAGAGGCGGGCGGAAUUCGUGGUGUAGCGGUGAAAUGCUUAGAUAUCACGAAGAACUCCGAUUGCGAAGGCAUCUCACUGGACUGCAACUGACACUGAGGCUCGAAAGUGUGGGUAUCCAACAGGAUUAGAUACCCCGGUA